UACAGAGACCUCGAGCGUUAUCCGGAUUUAUUGGGCGUAAAGCGUUCCGAUCGGCGGAUUAGUGUGUCUGAUGUGAAAGACCGAAGCUUAACUUCGUGUUUGCCUCAGAAACUACUAAUCUUGAAGGACAAAGGGGUAGCUAGAACUCUACAAGUACCGGUGAAAUGGGUUGAUAUGUAGGGGAAUACCAAAAGCGAAGGCAGGCUACUGGGUGUCACUUGACGCUGCUAGGACGAAAGCGUGGGGAGAGAAUGGG
rnacentral:rRNA from 1 species